rnacentral:rRNA from 1 species
AUUGAACGCUGGCGGCAUGCCUUACACAUGCAAGUCGAACGGUAACAGGUCUUCGGAUGCUGACGAGUGGCGCACGGGUGAGUAAUACAUCGGAACGUGCCCGAUCGUGGGGGAUAACGAAGCGAAAGCUUUGCUAAUACCGCAUAAGAUCUACGGAUGAAAGCAGGGGACCGCAAGGCCUUGCGCGAACGGAGCGGCCGAUGGCAGAUUAGGUAGUUGGUGGGAUAAAAGCUUACCAAGCCGACGAUCUGUAGCUGGUCUGAGAGGACGACCAGCCACACUGGGACUGAGACACGGCCCAGACUCCUACGGGAGGCAGCAGUGGGGAAUUUUGGACAAUGGGCGAAAGCCUGAUCCAGCCAUGCCGCGUGCAGGAUGAAGGCCUUCGGGUUGUAAACUGCUUUUGUACGGAACGAAAAGACUCUGGUUAAUACCUGGGGUCCAUGACGGUACCGUAAGAAUAAGCACCGGCUAACUACGUG